rnacentral:rRNA from 1 species
UACGGGGGGGCAAGCGUUGUUCGGAAUUACUGGGCGUAAAGGCUUGUAGGCGGCCAACUAAGUCCGACGUGAAAUCCCCAGGCUUAACCUGGGAACUGCGUCGGAUACUGGAUGGCUUGAAUUCGGGAGAGGGAUGCAGAAUUCCAGGUGUAGCGGUGAAAUGCGUAGAUAUCUGGAGGAAUACCGGUGGCGAAGGCGGCAUCCUGGACCGACAUUGACGCUGAGGAGCGAAAGCUAGGGGAGCAAACGGG